UGCCGCGUGCAGGAUGAAGGCCUUCGGGUUGUAAACUGCUUUUGUACGGAACGAAAAAGCUUCUCCUAAUACNAGAGGCCCAUGACGGUACCGUAAGAAUAAGCACCGGCUAACUACGUGCCAGCAGCCGCGGUAAUACGUAGGGUGCGAGCGUUAAUCGGAAUUACUGGGCGUAAAGCGUGCGCAGGCGGUUAUGUAAGACAGAUGUGAAAUCCCCGGGCUCAACCUGGGAACUGCAUUUGUGACUGCAUGGCUAGAGUACGGUAGAGGGGGAUGGAAUUCCGCGUGUAGCAGUGAAAUGCGUANAUAUGCGGAGGAACACCGAUGGCGAAGGCAAUCCCCUGGACCUGUACUGACGCUCAUGCACGAAAGCGUGGGGAGCAAACAGGAUUAGAUACCCUGGUAGUCCACGCCCUAAACGAUGUCAACUGGUUGUUGGGAAUUANUUUUCUCAGUAACGAAGCUAACGCGUGAAGUUGACCGCCUGGGGAGUACGGCCGCAAGGU
rnacentral:rRNA from 1 species